CAGAAUACUGGAGUGGGUAGCUGUUCCCUUCUCCAGGGGAUCUUCCCAACCCAGGGAUCGAACCCAAGUCUCCUGCAUUGCAGGCAGAUUCUUUACCAGCUGAGCCAACAGGAAAGCCCACUCUGGAUAUACCUAUUAUCCUCCCAACUUUUGAUUUGUCCUCAGAGACAUUGAUGUAUUAUUUUUAUUAGAAUUGUAUCAGAUUUUUAAAAUUAAAUUGUUUAUUUUUGUCAUUAUUUUUAUUCUACUUAUUGACUUAUUCAUUUUGGUUGUACUGAGUCUUAGUUACGGCAUGUGUGUUCUUUGGUGUGGUGCACGGGCUUCUCUAGUUGCAGUGAGCGGGCUCCAGAGUGCAAGGGCUCAGUAGCUGUGGCACGUGGGGUCAGUUUCCCCGCAGCACGUGGGAUCCCAGUUCCCAGAUCAGGGAUCGAACCCAUGUCCCUUGCACCGGAAGGUGGAUUCUUAACCACUGGACUCCCAGGGAAGUUCCUACUUUUUAUUAUUAUAAGCAAUAAAUGUUCACUGAGGAAAAUGAGAAUAUGCCAAGAAGGGAAGAAGUGAAAAAAACCCAUAGUCUUAUGAUUAAGAAUUAUUCACUGUUACCACAUUUAAUACUUGAUUGUUUAUAGCACAAGAUUUUCACUGACAAAGGUUACACCUCUCACAUUCUUUGGGUAUGUGGUCUUCAAAAGUUAUUGGGGUGGUUGUAGAGAUUAAGGACCAUCUUAAGAAUAAGAAUAAGGUGCCUGUUGGGAGAGGAGGGGAUGGAAUAUCUGACCGUGACCACAGCCUGAUACUCUGGAGGUGAUACCAGAGGAGAUUAGUGGGUAGGAAAAGGACCCUGUGCUGGGUUCUGCUGCACAAGACAGAGACCUAAGCAAACAGCAGCUGGAAAAAAUAAGAAAGAAGAGACAUUGUUAUUUUGCUUUCAUUUUCAAACUUGGAGGUACAUAAUGCAUGGCUGAUAAAACAUUUUUGCUACUCUGAAGCUCUUGCUUCUCCACUCCUAAAGUGUGGUUCUAAUUCAAAUGAUCUGCAAUGGAAGCUAAAGUUCAAGACAUCCCGGGCAGCAGGAUGGAGCAAGCGAUGACUCAAGAAGGGGAAAGGUACAUUCCAGCUUCUUUUAAAAAGGUUUAAGCAAGUUGUUACCCUCUGCUUACAUCUCAUUGGCCAGAGUUUAGUCUCAGGACUUACCUCCCUGCAACAAAGUGUGAGGAAAAGUAGUCUUUAGUCAAGAUACUAACAUACAGAGGUUGUGUCACUGUGGAGGAAAGGGGAGGUUGACAGGAGACUCGUUUCGUGGGAGGGGAUGUCUGGACUGUGAUCAGGGCUCCACACUAUGUGGAGCUGAUACUGCCCUGGGGAUAGUUUGAUGGGACACAAUAGGAGGCCAGAUCAGAUGCCUCUCUUGAUCAGCCCCCUCCCCAGCCUAGCCCCAAGAGAGUUCUCUGGGAUUAUUGGUUCUGCAAGUACGGAGCUAGGCCCAAGUUGGUGCCAAGUGAGAGGUUCACUGUUUCAUCUUUCCCUCUCCUAGUGCCAUCUGUCUAAGGUGCUGUCACAGCCAUGGGCAGGGCAGUGUGUCUGAUGAGAGGGGCAGACCCAGAAGGAGCCAAAGGAAGGAGUGGUUAUUUAGUCUUUGGAUAGGUGGAGGAGGGGCGCUGAAAAGUCUCUGCUAAGAAGAUGAUAUUCAAGUCGAGUCUUAAAAGAGGAUUGGGGUUUGCUGAGUGGGUGGGGAGGAGAAGGGGAGAGGAUGGCCCUGCUGCAGAAUGAGUGACUGGGGAACUUGUGUGGCAUGCGGGUGUGACUAGGGCACCGGAGUGAUGGCGAGAGGUCAAGAGAGGGAGGGAAGCUGGGAAGGUUGAGGAGGGUCCUGUGGGCCCACCAGGAGUCAGGGGAGCAGGGAGUGGUGGGAGCAAGACAAGCUACGCUUGUUCUUGGCUUGAGAGAGGCUUUGCCGCACCCCGUUAGGCUCUGACGAGGAAGAGGGUUUGAGAUGGGUGAAGGUCCUCCAGGACCAGUGAUGCUGGCUUAGGGCAACCAGGAGACCGGGUCCCUGGCUCUGGGUGUGAAGGCUGUGAGGCUAGGUGGUAGGGCAAGGUGAAAGACCAGUUCUUGGGGUCAGAGGGCAUAUCCGUGAGCGGUAGUUAGGUCCAGGAAGGGAGGUCUGUGUAACCAUCUCCUUUGAAGAAAGCGAGACGAACCCACAAAGGAGGGACUCCCUGACCAGCCUCGUCCUACCUGCUCAGCCCUUUUGGACAAAUAGGGUCUCUGCAGGUCCCUGACUGGGCACCCUCACCGUCAGAUGCCUGUACGGAGACAGUAGUAUUACAUGUGACCUUAAGAUUGGGGUUUGAAUUCUAGUUCUGUAGCCUACUUGACUUCACUGAGCCUCAGUCUCCUCAUCUAUACAAUGGGAGUAGUAAGAAGAUCAGCUUCAAAGUGCUGGAUGAGGAAGUGAUUGAAUGGUAGGUGGUCAGCCAGGAAACAGCCUGGCAGACUGUGAGGGUCCUGGUCUUAAAGAGGCAGCAGGAGGCCUGGAGCAGGACUGACUUCCUGGGGGUCAGCAACAGCCCCUCCGUCCGUCUGCCCCGCUCUGGAGGGAAGGUCCACGAAGAGCUGGCAGUGCCAGGGCCCCUCCUGGGGCUGCAGACUCUGCUGACCGAGCCCCCUCCUGUACUAAUCAGGCCGUGCGGUGGAGUGGAGGAGCUGGGCCUGGGUGCACUUGGCUAAUCACUGUGCAUUCUUAGCUGCUGCUGUUGAAUAUUUUAACUAGGAGAUUUCCUCCCCUGAGCUGAUUGCAGCAUAUCCACGCACCAGCCUGGGACAGGGCUUGCCAGGGCAGAGGGCCAGGAAGCCGAAGAGACGGGCUUGUUUUUUAGGACUCUAAGCAGUGAAGUGAGUUCCAGAUGGGCAACACGAUUACCCGUUUCCUUUGUAACUCAGACAUCCAAGUGGCCAGUCACUCUGUUUGGGUCCACAUACCGCAAGGAGAGGGAGUAGUAAUAGCCACUUAUUCAUUUAUUUUUCCACUCAUUCUCCAGUCUAUCCAUCUUUUCUUCCACCUAUCCCCUCAUCUACCCUUUCAUCUACCUGUCAAUCCAUCCAUCUAUCCAUCCAUCCAUCCUUUAAUAAGCUGUGCCUUCCCGUUCUCUAGGCUCUUGCAGACAUUCUUUCCUUUUCCGUCCUAGUCUGAUACCUGAGGCCCUCACCCUGCUGACUGGAGGAAACCUCAGCCCCACCUACAUCUCACUGAGGCUUUGUGGGGAGUGUUUUCUCGGGGUGGCUGUUGCUGUCACCUCUUUCUGUGAGGUGCCGCUGUGGGCUUCUCCCCUCAUCCUCCCCAGCUUGUCCUGACUUCUCCACCCUAACAGUUUGCUCCGAACCUGGACACAACACCUGUCUUACUCUCCAAGUCUCCCUGACAUACAGUCGUCAUAGGUAAUGGAUGGUAUUGAGAACAUUCUAAGGAAAUUGUGCCCCACAGAGAGAAAACUUAAAAUUUACCCUUCAGUAUCAGUGUUCUCAGGCUUCCCAGACGGUGCUAGCAAUGAAAAACUUGCCUGCCAAUGCAGGAAAUACCAAAGACACAGGUUCCAUCCCUGGGUCAGGAAGAUCCCUUGGAGGAGGAAAUGGCAUCCCACUCCAGUAUUCUUGCCCAGAGAAUCCAAUGGACAGAGGAGCCUGGUGGGCUACAGUCCAGGGGGUCCUAAAGAGUGACACAACGGAAGUGACUUAGCGUGCACACAUCAGUGUCCUCAUGGCCCAUCACAAGGAGGCCUGUCCCCGCCUGUCUCCCUGGUCCUGGGGGGGUGUUGCAGCUCCCCCUCAGCUCAGCAUCUUCUCUCAUCUCUUUUGUCUCUCUGGGUCCAAGACUACGACACCUGUCCAUCUCACUCAUCAGGAAUAACAAACCAGAACCAAAGGAAAAACUGCCAUUCUUUUAACAUGAAAAGACAAAAAAGUCCAGAUAUAGGCCCUUGUCCCUAGGGCAGAUGCUUAAUGCUUAUUCUGUAAAGAGGCUGACCCUGAAUUUCCUUAAUCUACACUUUUAGAUGGGGCUUCCCCAGCGGUUCAGUGGUAAAGAAUCCCCCUGCAACGCAGGAGAUGUAGUUUGAUCCCUGGGUCAGGAAGAUCCCCUGGAGGAGGGCAUGGCAACCCACUCCAGUAUUCUUGCCUGGAGAAUCCCCGGGGACUUCUGUCCAUGGGGUCACAAAGAGUCGGACGCGGCUGAGGCAGCUAAGCACAGCACAGCACACUUUUAGAUUAAGCCUGGGCCUUGUCUUUAUGAAACCGAGAGACCAGUUAAACUCUUUUUUCUCUCAAGAAAAAGUGGCCAGGUUUCUCUAGAUUAUAAAACUCAAGUGGACCUUUCCUGCUUUUAUCCUGGUACCCACCCCUACAUCCUCUUAUCCUCCAAUCCAUGUUCAUUUUUUUCAUUUGCCCAAUAGAUAUUUAUUGUGCACCUUCUAAGUUCCAGGCCUGAAGCUGAGUAUGGAAGAUACAACAGUGAAUGAAGCACGCAGCCUGUGUCUUCACAGAGUACAUACACAGGGUGGCUGGGAGAGGAUAUAGUAAAUAAAUAUAUAAGACGUACUUUCAGAAAUAAGUGCUAGGAAGGGAAAGUGCCUCCAAGCAGACUCUCAUCUAACUGGCUGUUUAUUUCUUCACGUGUCUGUUUUUGCUCAUUCAUUGCUUCAGGCAUCAAUAAACAUGGGCUUGAUAUUUGUCAUUUAUUUGGCACUAGGCCAGGUGUUGGAGACUUGAAUACAAAAAAAGACCAUGACCUUUCCCUUGAAGCAGGCACAGACUGAUAAGUGAGGGAAACAGAUAAACACCUUACAGUGAUACCGAGGGGCUGGAACUAGAACAGAGAUGCUCGUGGACCAGUAGGAGCCAGAGGAGGAAAAAAGCACCACUACAAUCGGAGGCUGAGGGCAGGCUUCCUGGAGGAGGUAUCAUUUAAUCAGGACUUGGCAGAUGAGAAUGAAUUUGCCCAGGCAGAGACGAAGGACCUUCCCUCUUCUGGCUGGCAGACAUGAAAGAAUGCUGGCUGGGUAAUUUUUUUCCACCUGAGAAGAGAUUAAAGCAAAGUAAAACAAAAACAAGUUUUCCCUGUGCCAGAAAAGGAAAACCUGGAUCAUACAUGAGAGUGAAGUCCAGGUUGCUAAACAAAGAGGGUUAAAAAUGCGAUGUCUUAAAGAAGAUGGAGGUUAUUGCAUCUUGGCCUCACCAUCCUCAGGUGGGGAUACUAUUUCCAGUGAUGCUGUCUCCUUAUCUUGGUCCCUUCCUGGUUCUGGAGACUUCUGGACAGCAGAGGUGUAGAGAAGGACUGGCCCCAUAUGCUCUGAUGGUGCUGGCGACACAGCAGUGAACGAGACAGAGUCCUGCCCUCACCAGGCGUGCAGAGUAAAGUACCACCAUCUUCCAUUGGCCAUCCCAAACCCAGAGUCGCCUGAGACUCCUUCCUCUUCCAAAGCGUCCACAUCCACUCAACUCAGUCCCUAAGUCUCCCCCUGUGAACCCCUCCGUUUGUACUGGAAGUUCUAUAAUUCAGAAGUCUGACACAGAUCUCACUGGGCUGGAUCAAGUUAUCAGCAGGGAUGUGUUACUCUCUGGAGCUUCUGGGAACCGGCCCCUCCUUUCUCUGGGCAGCUGCUGGAGAGAUGGUGUGAAGUGGUUUGGGCAAAGUCUCUGGCUCCACACUGCCUGCUUCUAAACCCCAGCACCACUGCCUACUCACUGCAACUUUGAGUGACUUCAACGCUGAGGCUCGGUGGCCGCACUCGAGACUUGAAUGAUGAUACCCACUGGGGCCUCUCCAACAUGGCAGCCCAGUUCAUCAAAGCAAGCAAACCAGAGAGGCUAGAGUGCUGAAGAAAUGGAAGCCAGUGUUAAUAAUGAAAUCCUGGAACAGUGUCCCAGCACAGUCUGCCCUACUCUGUCGUGAGGAGCAUGUACCUAGGUCCAGCCACACCCACAGGAGGGGAUUACAGGAGGGUAUAAAUGCCAGGGGCAGGGGUCGCUGGGAGCCGUGCCAGAAGCUGCCACCACACAGCCUGUUCUCUUUCGGCUGCUCUCAGAUCACGAAUUCCUGCAGGGCAGCUGACAUCAUGUUCACGAGCACCCGUGGGAUGCUGCGUGCCUUCAUUCAUUUAUUGUCUCACUCAUUUGACAGACAUUUGCUCCCUACCUACUGUGUGCAAAAUCUUGAUUGCUGGAGUGACAAAACUGAAUAAGGCUCAUUUCCUGCCUUGAAAGAGACAGAUGUGUAAAGAAAUAAGUGAGGUUUAGUGUCUGCUACAUGGAGACUCCUGAAAAGAAUAGGGCUAAUGCUGUUUUAGCACUGACUGUGUACAAGCAUCAGUCUAAACACUUUAUAAGUAUUGUCUCUUAAUGCUCACAGCAACCUGUGAGGUAGCUACUAUUAUUAUCACUCCAUUUUGUAGAAAAAGAAACCGAAGUACAAAAAAAAGGGGGUGAAUGUAGCUGGCAAGGCAGGGCUAGGGUUCCACCUGGGCAGUUUGGCCCCUGAGUCCAUACACUGAGCCGUGUGUCAUCUUGUCUCGUGCAAGAUGGGCUCCACGAGCAGUCCUUUUAAAGGAACGACAGGUGUUGGGGACCAUCCUUGGGACCAGUUCUUUCUUGUUCUUCAAGAGCAAUAUGCAGACAGAUCCUUUUCCAUGGGCCUUGAUGAAGCUGCCUGCUGGCAUAUCUGGGGUGGGAAGAAUGACUAGGAAGACCACUCGGCAAGCUGGGGAAGAGAGUUGUUUUGGUUUAAAAGAUUGACAUUUUAAUAAACUGCUCUUAAUUAACAGCACUUUGAAAUUCUGAGUGGCGUGCUCUCCAUCUUAAAACAGGCGGUCGGGUGGCUUCUUAGAGAACGCGAUGCUUGUGGGUGAUCUCCCUUUUUGAAACAAACCCAGACCCUCCAGUCACAAUUUAUUUUUCAUUCCAAAAAUGAUCUUUACUGCAAAUGUUGCUUUGGUUCGAGUGAAUUAGAAAUCCUUAUUACACAGGCAGGCACUUCAAACAGUGCCCGGCUCACCGCGCCGGCUGUGGCAUCAAAGACUCGGCUGGAAUCUCUGAUUACCACCCAGGCUGUGGGCCACUUGGGA